rnacentral:rRNA from 1 species
CCCGCUGAACUUAAGCAUAUCAAUAAGCGGAGGAAAAGAAACUAACAAGGAUUCCCCUAGUGACUGCGAGUGAAGCGGGAAGAGCUCAAAUUUAAAAUCUGGCGCGCCUCUGGUCGUCCGAGUUGUAGUCUGGAGAAGCGUUUUCCGUGUUGGACCGUGUAUAAGUCUCUUGGAACAGGGCGUCAUAGAGGGUGAGAAUCCCGUCUUUGACACGGACUACCAAUGCUUUGUGAUGCGCUCUCGAAGAGUCGAGUUGUUUGGGAAUUUUGUUUUUAAUAAAUGGUAAAUUCCAUCCAAUGCCAAAUCCUCACGAGAGAGGGGGGGCGAACAGGUGAAUCAAAAACAACGUACGGAGGUGGAGGACCGGGCGUUAUUUUCUAGGUUAUUUUGUGUCAAUGGGGGUUGUCGAAAACGGUCCUGGAGAAGGUGACCAAUGCUUCGGUAUGGGCUUUAUAGCUCCUCGUAGAUACGAUUACCUGGAUUGGAAUCGACAACAGCUAACAGAGGUGCUGUAUCUGCGGUUGUGAACAUUUGAGAAUCAGUAGAGUCUUGGAUGGUAUCUAACCGAGAAGAGGUAUCUUGGAUGCUCUGGUGAGUACUGACGAAACAGCAUUAAACGACCCGUCAGUAAACACGGAAGCGCGAAUUCGUAUAAACCUGCGAAGACUAGUCGCAUACAAUGCUGCAUAUAUU